rnacentral:rRNA from 1 species
GCUAGCGGCUAGCUCUCUGCAACUCUAAGCAGGUCUGCGCCCGGUCAAUACCUGGAUGGGAGACCACAUGUGAAAACUAGGUUGCUGCUGGAA